rnacentral:tRNA from 1 species
GCCUCGUUAGCGCAGUAGGCGACGCGUCAGUAUCAUAAUCUGAUUUAGAAAUCUGAAGGUCGUGAGUUCGAUCCUCACACUGGGCU